rnacentral:rRNA from 1 species
UACGGAGGGGGCAAGCGUUGUUCGGAAUUACUGGGCGUAAAGGGCGCGUAGGCGGCCUGUUGCGUCAGGUGUGAAAUCCCCGGGCUCAACCUGGGAAUGGCACUUGAUACGGGCGGGCUGGAAUCCGGGAGAGGAUGGUGGAAUUCCCAGUGUAGAGGUGAAAUUCGUAGAUAUUGGGAAGAACACCGAUGGCGAAGGCAGCCAUCUGGACCGGUAUUGACGCUGAGGCGCGACAGCGUGGGGAGCAAAC